AUAUAUUUCUCGGCCUUUUGGCUAAAAUCAAGUAUAGUUUUUGUUUAUUAGUUUAAUAUCUGAUACAUAGGCUAAUGGCUUACGUGAUAUUAAAUUUAUUUUUUGAGGGUGAGAACCUUUCAUAGUAGCUUGCUUCAGGGGAAGAUUGAGCUCAAAAUCGAGCUCAAUUGAGUUUUGAGUUUUAAUCGAGUUCU